GUGGUAGUUCAGGUUUUGUAAAAGUUGGUAACUCGGGUUUUGGCAGAGUUGGGACAUGAGGCAACGGCGGAAGUUCCAUCUUAGGCAAUUGUGGGAGUUCAGGUUUUGGAAGUUCAACCUUUGGCAGUGAUGGUAAUUCAGGUUUCGGAAGUUCAACCUUUGGCAGUGAUGGUAAUUCAGGUUUCGGAAGCUCAGGCAAGGUUGUCUCAGAGAGGCGGCGAGCCUCCACUUCUGUGCUACACAUUGAUGUCAGUGUGACAACUAAGAGCAGUAAAAGAGUUAAUGAAUAGUAUGUGCUA
rnacentral:lncRNA from 1 species